GGUGAACGCUGGCGGCGUGCCUAAGACAUGCAAGUCGAGCGGGCCGCGGGGUUUUACUCCGUGGUCAGCGGCGGACGGGUGAGUAACGCGUGGGUGACCUACCCGGAAGAGGGGGACAACCCGGGGAAACUCGGGCUAAUCCCCCAUGUGGACCCGCCCCUUGGGGUGUGUCCAAAGGGCUUUGCCCGCUUCCGGAUGGGCCCGCGUCCCAUCAGCUAGUUGGUGGGGUAAUGGCCCACCAAGGCGACGACGGGUAGCCGGCCUGAGAGGGUGGCCGGCCAGAGGGGCACUGAGACACGGGCCCCACUCCUACGGGAGGCAGCAGUUAGGAAUCUUCCGCAAUGGGCGCAAGCCUGACGGAGCGACGCCGCUUGGAGGAAGAAGCCCUUCGGGGUGUAAACUCCUGAACCCGGGACGAAACCCCCGACGAGGGGACUGACGGUACCGGGGUAAUAGCGCCGGCCAACUCCGUG
rnacentral:rRNA from 1 species